rnacentral:rRNA from 1 species
GAUGAACGCUGGCGGUAUGCUUAACACAUGCAAGUCGAACGGACUCUUCGGAGUUAGUGGCGGACGGGUGAGUAACGCGUGAGAAUCUGGCUUUGGGUUCGGGACAACCACUGGAAACGGUGGCUAAUACCGGAUGUGCCGAGAGGUAAAAGAGAAAUUGCCUGAAGAUGAGCUCGCGUCUGAUUAGCUAGUUGGUGAGGUAAAGGCUCACCAAUGCAGCGAUCAGUAGCUGGUCUGAGAGGAUGACCAGACACACUGGGACUGAGACACGGCCCAGACUCCUACGGGAGGCAGCAGUGGGGAAUUGUCCGAAAGGGGCGAAAGCCUGACGGAGCAAUACCGCGUGAGGGAAGAAGGCUCUUGGGUUGUAAACCUCUUUUCUUAGAGAAGAACAAAAUGACGGUACCUAAGGAAUCAGCAUCGGCUAACUCCGUG